rnacentral:rRNA from 1 species
GACAGCAGUCGCCACGGUAAUACGAAGGGGGCUAGCGUUGCUCGGAAUUACUGGGCGUAAAGGGAGCGUAGGCGGACAUUUAAGUCAGGGGUGAAAUCCCAGAGCUCAACUCUGGAACUGCCUUUGAUACCGGGUGUCUUGAGUGUGAUAGAGGUAUGUGGAACUCCGAGUGUAGAGGUGAAAUUCGUAGAUAUUCGGAAGAACACCAGUGGCGAAGGCGACAUACUGGAUCAUUACUGACGCUGAGGCUCGAAAGCGUGGGGAGCAAACAGGAUUAGAUACCCCAGUAGUCCCUGUCUCUUAUAC